rnacentral:snRNA from 1 species
AACUUUGCACAGUGGCAGUUUGUAGCCAGUGAGGUUUAUCCAAAGUACAAUUGUUGCUAAUUGAAAAAAUGAGAAUAGGUUAAGUGAUCUCUUGGAUAAUAUAGUGAAUAAAUAUUCAUAUU